CACACAAUAUGUAACUGAUUUGUUGAUUUUUUUUUCAUCGGCUUGUAAUAUGCAGGUAGGUGUUCAAUACCUGAUUGCUGCUACACCAGAGGAUAUUAAUUAAUCGGACUUUCUCUGUUUCUGGUGAGAAGGUUUGGGUAAAAAUGCCGCUGGGUUACAGCUAUGGAGACGGCAAAGAAAAAGAUUUUCACUCGAGAGCUUUGUAAGAUCGAAUUGUUUUAUUUUGCUUUACUAUUACAUGCUCCUGUGUUUCAUUUGUUACUAGCUUAGAUAGAAAGAACAUGUAUGAGUUGCAUGAUAGGCUGUUAUGGCAUGAUUAGCUUAGCUUCUGAUAACAAAAUAGCUCUGGGCAAAACUGUCAUCGAACUGGGCCAAAAAUUUGCCUAGAAAGCUGCCAACUAUCACAUAAUGCUUUUAUGUACUAAGUUGUGUUCACAAAGAAUUGUUUUUAUGACUUUCUAGCAGUGCACACUGCUAUUUGAUGGGGUAUGACUAUUUUCUUUAUUGUCUGUAUCUCUUUUUUUAAUGAUCUUCUCAAUACCAAUUUUUACCCACUCCAGUAAAGAAGAUGGAGUUUUAAGUUUUUUUGGUCCAUCAUUUAAAGUUGAGUUUUGAGUCUUUUGACCAUUUAAUUUUGUUGAACAUUGUGGAUUCACUCCGAAUUUUGUUUCCCAGAAUUUAUCUAUGUCCAUAAUCAACCUAAUUGCUUUACAACUUCUUUAUUUAUCAAAUUUUGUACUAAUAAAUUGGGUUCCAUGAAAUAAGAGAGGGCCAUAACCUGGGAAAAAGUUUUAGGUUGGAUGCUCCUUUCAAAGUUGAAUCGGUGGAAUGCUCUUUGGUCUGCUCAAACUCUCUUUGCAGUUAGAGUUUUAAUAUUUUCCGUUAUUCACCUUUGCACGCAAAAGUAGAGACUAGGUAAAUAAUACUUGACAAUGUGCAACUAAGAUGACUUCUGUUCAAGUCAUUAUCCCUAUUGUUGCUCGUUAUAAUUUUAGUUAUUUAAAUGGAUGUUAAGACAACUUUUUAAAAUAGGGAUAUUAAAGAAGGGGUUUGAAUAUCUUUUUUUUCCCUUUUUUCAUGAAGGUUAAUGGUUUCCUUCUGUUUUGUCAAUAUUCUGUUCAUGCACUUUAAUUACAAAGUCAGGUCCACGUGUGGUGUUUGAGCGUUUUCUGAAUUUCUGACCCAUUUGCAUGGUGAGAAAGGAUGGGAUUAGAAGAGGAAGUGAAUGUUGUUCUUGCCAUGUGAUUUGCGUUCUUGAAAAUUUUUGGGUGUGGGUUGUGAUAAUUUAGAUUCCUCGAUAAGGUCCGUGUGCUGCUGGUUCUAUGUAGUUUUUUUUAUCCCGCAUUAUUUUGCGAGAUUUUCUACCUGUUGUCCUGCUUUGGGUUCUUUGCGUGUGGAUUUUGUCCGCUUGGGUUCUUGUUAUGCGUGGAUUUCCUCCGUCUGUGCGUGGGUUUUGUGUCCUUCGAUUAAGUUUUAUGGGUGUUUUAUUUGAGCAUUUUAAGUAUUAUCAGAAUUACAGCUAAUUUUAUCCGCUUGCCACCCAAUUGGAUGGUGAGAAAGGAUCAGAUAAGAAAACGAAAUUAUUUCGUGCAAGCUCUGACAAUUUUUGGGUGAGAUUAGACAAGAAAAAGAAGAAACCAAUUGAAACAAUUUUUUCCUCUUGUGCUUCUCUCUCAAGUUUUCUCGCCAAAAUGCUAAAUUCAGGUUGCGCUGGAGUUCGGAGAAUAAGGUAUUUCUUUGUCUGUGUUUAAUCUCCCUCUCUCUCUCUCUGUUCCCAGUUCUCUGCUGACGAAGCGAUUUUCGCUGUCUCUGUGCCAUCCAAGCGCUUCCUUUUGUCUGCCAACUGCGCUCGGUGCAGGGAUACUGAAAAUGAGAGUCAGGACCUUGUCCUCUGUGACAAAAGGGGUUUGCCCUGUUUCGGUCAGAUCGCAGUGGAUUUCAUUUGUUUGGUAGUUGUUCUGAAACACCACAAGAAGCCAUCUAUUCAAGCUGUAUGUGCGUUUGGCUCUGUUCUUGGAAAUGAAAAUAUGUGAUUGAAGUUGUAAAUGCUUUUUUAUUGUGCUAUUCAUUCUUUUGACAUUAGAAUUUACUUGGUCUUCAGUAUGUAACAACCUAAUUGUUUGGUUCAAGUGUGGACUUUGAAAGUAGACUUGACUACUUCUUUUAGCAACAACUCUUUUUCAUACCUUCAAUAUAUAAAAUUUUGAAUUUUUAGGAUUUGGGUAAUGAUGAAUUUUCUUUCUUUAAUUAUCAAUGGAAUUGGGUUUUAGUGUUUGGACCCUUCUAUGAUCUCUGUGAUCUUAAGUCCAGAUUACUGUUUUGAGCCCUUCUAUUGCCCCAGCUCUUUUUCAUUCCAUCUAUAUUCACAGUUAAGAGUCCUUACUGCAAGUAAGAACGGAAUUUGGUUUCAGUGUUAAUACUACUUUUGUUCUCAUUUACUCAUAUGUUGAGCUGGUUUUUCCCACUCAGGAUGAAAGAUACUAAUUUUUAGCAGUUCUUUGAUCUUAUGUCCAUAUUAUUAUUGUGGUUUAUGAUAAUUCUUUGUUACCAUAAAUUUUGUUAUAAGCCAAGUGCUGAAUCAUAAGCCUGUAUAUUUGAAGACAUCUAAGGGGGUUUUGGAAGGACCCCAUGUUUCCUUUUUGUUUGUUCUUUACUUCAGUAUUUUUCUAAUUCUUCCUGUUCUUUUUGGUCCAGGGUAGAACAUUUUUGGAAAGGAAAAUUGGAUUGAAUGGGGGUUUGAACAUGUGGGGACCCAAUAAAGCAGCCUCAAGCUAGACCCUUGGGAUUUGAGUUGGCGUGUAUAACUAGAGGACCAUUGUAUCUGGUCUUCGCUUUGCGUGUAUGCGCUUCCUUGGCUUAAUUUGUGUGGUUUGGCAUUUAGUUCAAAGUGUGAUGGAAGCUAUUGGUGUACUGUUAACUUCUUGCUAUUUAGAUUUCCUUAAUUUUGAAAAAAUUAAAGUAUUUAAAUUUGGCGAAAACAGAUGAUAGGUAUCUAGCCUAUGACGAACUUGCAACUUGGUUUUCUAUCUGACAUAUUUUUGGGACAUGUAUUUUGUUUGAUAUGCCUUUUGAGCUGAGCUACACUUUGGGAGUGGUGUUGUGAGGAACCAAUUAAAGGUUUAGUUAAGUUCUGCUCAAUUAUGAAAAAUAUAAAGGAGCAUUAUGAGUAGUUAACUGUAUAAUAGAGGGCAUUAUUUCUUGGACAAUGAUAUGGGCUCAUGCCAAUUGGUUUAAAUGUCAAUGGAAUCUAUCCACUGCAUGAUUAGUUUACUGUUAUUAUUGUUCUCAAAUUUGUAUUUUAGCAAGUUUUCGCAUUUGGCAUGCAGUUUAUGGUUAUUGGUUUUAGCAUUCAGCAAUUGUGGAGGCAGAUGGCUUCUCAUACUUCUAGAGAUAGAUGUUUCGACUGCAAUUAUCAGGUGCAUUGCUAUUUGCUGUCGUGUGCAUAGUCCUGAUAUACUCUGGGGAGUGGGGUAGCAAUCUUUGGCCUUCACUUCUAUAGCGUUUUUUCCAUAUAUAUGUUGGUUGACGUGAACCUAUGAACUUGUUAUUUGUUGGUAGCAUUGACGUUGUUAACCUAUAAGUUGAGAAAUUGAUGACCAAUUCCUUUACUCAGAUGCUUAUUUUCUUGCAGCUACAUAUUUAUGAAGCCUAGACUUGGAAUCACUAAUUUAGUAGUUUUUCUUAUUGUGUUUAGUGUUAGUGUCAAAGCUUGGAGUUGCAUCCCAAGUGAACAGGAUCGCACAUGGCUAGAAAGUGAGCUUCGAGAGAUCAAGACACUUCAGCAUUCAUCAAAUUAGUAUAUUGUUUAGAGUGAGUUGUGUCGGUCCUAAAUUGCCAAUAGUUAUGGAAAAAGCUCAUUUGUUGUUAGUUGUACCCAAUUGAUACAUAUAAAGAAUCCUUCUGUGUGGUACUUGAUAGAUAUAAAGAAUCCUUCUGUGUGUUAGCUCAUAUAGGAUUUCUUAGUUAGGUUCAUGAUUAUUAUUUUUCAGAUAUCUCUUCUGAGACUGAAUUUUUCCUCACGUAACUAUUCAAUUGGUUGUGAAAUACUCAUGUAUGUACCAGUGAAUAGUGGCAUUAGAAGACUUCAUUGCAC